UGUAUCUAAAGUCUGAAGAGGAUGAGAACCUCCGGGGGCAAGAGGUUCGACUCGAGCGAAGCGAGAGAACGUUGCGCCAGCAACGGCCCGCAGGGCGAGCCACGCAGUGGCGAGUCAUCCUCUAUCACCGACCA
rnacentral:sRNA from 1 species